CUGGCUCAGGAUGAACGCUAGCUACAGGCUUAACACAUGCAAGUCGAGGGGCAGCAUGGAGUUGCUGCAAACUCUGAUGGCGACCGGCGCACGGGUGAGUAACGCGUAUCCAACCUUCCCUAUAGUAGAGGAUAGCCCGGCGAAAGUCGGAUUAAUACUCUAUGUUUCCGUUGCAGACAUCUAAGAUGGAACAAAGGCUUGCCGCUAUAGGAUGGGGAUGCGUCUGAUUAGGUAGUCGGCGGGGUAACGGCCCACCGAGCCAUCGAUCAGUAGGGGUUCUGAGAGGAAGGUCCCCCACAUUGGAACUGAGACACGGUCCAAACUCCUACGGGAGGCAGCAGUGAGGAAUAUUGGUCAAUGGGCGAGAGCCUGAACCAGCCAAGUAGCGUGCAGGAUGACGGCCCUAUGGGUUGUAAACUGCUUUUAUGCGGGGAUAAAGUUCACUACGUGUAGUGUUUUGUAGGUACCGCAUGAAUAAGGACCGGCUAAUUCCGUGCCAGCCGCUGC
rnacentral:rRNA from 1 species